CACACACACACACAAAAAUUGCCAUGGGAUUUACUCUGAAACAACUCACUCUAAAGCCUGGGCCACACACACACACACACACACACACACACACACACACAUUCAAAGAGAAGCCUGAUCCCUGUCUGGUUUCCCUUGUGUCACACACCCUCUUCAUGAGUUCAGAAAGACUCAGUGCACAAAAGAGAUGCCCAGAGCCAGUAACACCAACACACACACACACACACACACACACACACACACACACACACACACUACACACUUAUACACACACAGUCGCACUCACACCCUAACACACAUACUAGCUUGCCAAAUGAGCAGACCCAUAUUAACACUGUUUUCAAUAACAGUAAUUGUGGACUUGUUUAAAUCUGGGCCGUCAUCUCAUAACACCUCCCACACACACACACGCGCACACACACACACACACAUGUGUGUGUAUUUAAGAGUGUGUUUUAAAGAAUAUGCGGAAAGACUAGCCCUCUUGGCAGGCUAUUGCUGCUUCACCAACUGCAGCGCCAGGUGCGCACACACACACACACACACACACACACACACACACACACACACACACAGUGGCCUCGUUAUUGAGUGAGUAGCCUCCAGCGUUCUCUGAGCCAAAAUCCCUGCUAACAAGGCAGCUACACUCGACAAGAAACAGGAUUUCACUACAUUUGGAUAUAAACAGGAAAACAUUUGUGGACCAGAAAUCAGAAAUUACAUUUACACAAAGUUUUAUUUUGUUUUUUUUGUUGUUUUUUUUGGUUUGUUUGAACUUGUGUCACGAUGCUAAUCCAGCUAACAUCGGAAGUAUAUAGCCGCAAUUUCAGUAGUGUAGCUGCUAGCGUUCGGUUCUGUCGCAUUUCAUCAGUAAUCGAGUAAAUAAAUCAAAACCUGCAUUAACGCUUUAUGAUGAAAGGAAGUAAGAUGGAAAUCUUUUGGAGGUGUAUUUGGGCUUGUUAUGAAGUCAAAGGUAAAAAUGUCAAAAACAAAAAAAAAUUGAUAUAAAAAGCACAGCCAUCCAUAACUUUAAACUAGCUAUCUAGCAGUUUCUAGCUAAUUUUAUUAGCUACGAAUAACGUCAGAAUUUUUAAUAAAUCAUAUUAGCAAAAAAAAUAAAUAAAUAAAUGAAUCAGCCCGUUGAAAUUGUUUCGGUAUGAUCGAUAAACGUUUUGUUCAUCUGUAGAAGGGAUUGUAAGGAAAUCGUUUAUUAUUAUUUCAAUGAUCUCGCCGUUUUCAUCGUCAUACUUAUAUACAUUACACUUUCGAGUCAGUAAAGAAAUCACAGUACUGUUUUGUUCUGAUAUUAAAUGGUUAAAAGUUCUCACUGUAAGACUACUUUACUAGAAAUUUAGAGACAAAGCGACAACCGAAUAUAUUUACACGCGCUGAAAAACAUAAAAGCUAGCUAGAUUAGGAGGGACAUUACUGAAGAACCUGAAUUGUUAUGCUACUUGUAGCGAAAAGAAAAUCGUAGUUAAAGUCUAAGCAUUUCCUUCUCGUUUAUUAUAUUAACGUCGUACGUGAUGUAUUUCAAUUUCUAGCUAGUUUUGCGAUCAAAAUGUUAAGAUUAAAAACGAUUUUGUUUUUCCGGCAGAAGUCGUACCUGCUGGAAGGUUUACGCGAGCAGGUUACGAGUUUUAGGUAUGUUAAAAUGAUAGGAUUUGCUGCAAGUAUGUAGUUCAUAAACAUUUUGAUGUCGUUUGAAUGGUUUGAAUAUGCGAGAUGGAUCUUAUCGACGUAUCGAGCGUAAGGUUAGCCGGGACACUGUUGGGUUUCUGUGUGUAGAGUAUCACGACUGUGUUUAGAUGCAGUGCGAUGGGUAAGGGGGAGGGCGUGUGACAACGAACUAAACACAAUAAAAUUGUCGAAUUUAAACCUAGUAUACUAGGUUAAAAAAAAAAAGAGAGAGAUACUUAUGAAAAACUGCAACACGGGUAGCCCUAAAAUAUUAUAACCCCUCUUUUGUAGCCUCUGCUAAAACGAGUAAAUAUGAUUUAUAUGUUAGCGUAGUGCAGUGAAUCCUACCGCGUGUAUUUUUACAAAUCGAAAGAUUUCAGCUUGCUCUACGUAGUAGCAAAAAUUCCACCGUUUUUGGUCAGCGGAUGUUUUUAUUUAUUUAUUUAUUUAUUUAUUUAUUGCUUGCCAUCACACAUUUUCUCAACCUUCUAUUUUUUUCCUCCCGAGGGCUAAAAAUCAAAGGUCGGCACUAACAGCAGACUCCCUCAGAGGUCACGCCCUCAUGAAUAAUUGACCGCACUCCGAAGGUCAGAAGUCGGAGCAGAAGUGCUUCCACUCACAAAGGCGACACACAUGCCCGCGUUUCCAUCGGCGACCCGCGAUGCCGCUGUUCUCUGGACACAAUGACAAAGGGCUCGGGUCAAUGCUUUUUCACUUUAGACACCCACUGAGGCUUUCUUGGGCCCGAAUUGGCACACAGCACUUUCGAACGGAGGCUUUAUACCUGAGUAAAAUCAAUAGAACCGAAUGUGAAAGGUUCUCGUACGCCUCCGUGUCAUACUGUAAGCUUUCCUUUCAUCCGGAUGCUUAGCUCUAAAUAGUCUCUAAGCGAAUUUCCAGGAAGAAAACACGCAAAUCGUUGCGCUUUACAGCUAAACUCCUGUUACGUCGGACGUUCUAAAGAGGCCGCGGCGAGAUGACGUCAUCGUGAGAGGAAACGCUCGUUUUAACGAGUUACCGUCGCGUCAUCGAGGAAACGUAGACAGGAAAAAGACGUCGCAACGUUGCGGUAGCUAGCAGCGAGACGUAAGAGAAAUAUGAUCUGAUACGUAGCGCGUAGUAGCUAGCUAAACAUCUAAUUAGUCUUUAACAUAGCUUUACAACACAGUCCUUUGCGACUCAAACGCGGGAUACAGUGUUGGCUGUGGUAGCUAAUCGUUUAAUUAGUCAUUAGUGUGGCAAAUCCUGAUAAAUAAACGUAGCCGUUUUUCGUAUCUAAUUAUAUCGUGUAAAUCGAGGAAACGUGUAGCUAGCUAGCUAGCUACUCGAACGGCGUGCCGGAUAAUAAAUAUAUUCAUGAUUUGGGAAUCUUGAAAACACUUGCUAUGUCUGGAUUUAUAUCCAAAAAUCUUCGUCUAUCACCGUUUAUCGUGAAGUUCAUACAGAAGGGAACAAUUCUGACAGAUUUAGCUGGUUCUUUAAUAAAAUUCCCCAAAAAAAUAAAAAGAAAACCUGAUUGAAAGUAAUCAUAUUUAUGCCCCGAAAAAAGAAAUACAGCGGAACAGAAAAUGUGCCUCGGCCUCGGCGGAAUCUGAUUAUCAUAAGCGGCGGCUGCUAACAAAUCAUCAGUAUUACGGAGGCGUCGCAGUUGAUUUGGACAUGUAAUGGAAGGGGCGCUUUUAAUUCCGCUCGUGGCACGUGUGUGUUUCUUCGCGGGUCAGAAGGCUGGCGGAUUGGUGUGAAUUUAUUCACGGCUUUAACAGCGUCUCCUCUCUGGGAAUUAUCUGUUAAAGUGUGCCUUUUAAAUGCCGCGUGUGGCUUUUGCAUGUAUUCAUUUGCUCGUGCAUAUUCAUGAGCGACGCGGCCCGGCGUUCGCACCACGGAUCGCGUGAUGUCACGCUCAGUUUAACGUCGAUAAGAAAAGCUACUAGCCAACAAAGUGUACUAAUACAGCUGCUGUUUAAUACUGACCAUACGUGCGUAAUCAAUUAUUCGGUGUAUUUUAGGAUUAGAUACCUAGCUUGCGAUAUGUUCAGAGAAAGAACGUUUAAGCUACUUUUUUUUUUUUUUUUUUUUUAAAUUUAAGCUCCAAGGUUGUGCAGCGAUGUUUAGAGGAAGUAGGAGGGACUUCCAGAUUUACUGAAAACAGGAACUCAAAGAUGAAAGGCAAUACUGGAGACAUCAGACAUUGCACAAUAGACCCGGUCUGUUUAGUUUGUCACAAGGAAUUUGCAUUAAAUUGAGAAACUUUCGUCCUGAUACAAGAACAUGAAGGCCAACUGCCAGCCAAUCAGAAAAGAGAAGACUGUUGUUGUUGGGUUUUUUUUUUUUUGUGGUCUAGUGAUCUCAGGCACUAACGAAAACAUUUUUUCGCUCUAGCUGCGUUUCUACAGAAAUUACCCAGAACAUUUAGUCCUAGGGACUUUUUUCACGGGACCGUUUGAUUACUCCAGACCUUUGUUGUCUGCGUUUCCAUAGCGGUUUAAAGUACGGCGAAGGUUAGGCAGAUUAGUCCAGUGACGUAUGACUAAGUGCGACAAGCCCUCGGCGAGGACACGAAGUCUCAAAGUAUGCUACAAUCAAACUGAUUAUUGACACAAAGUAAUCAACAUGUUCAGCGCCCAGGUCCCACCUCCCAAACUUCCUGAACUUCGAAAAAGUACCACCUCGCAAGUAGGGUCUUUCCGAGGCGGAAAUAUUUUACCCUGAACUUAAUUUAGACCCCGGUCCCUGCGGUGUAAAACUCAUUGAGUACCUCCCAAAGUCCCUAGUUCCUGGACAAAGCUCCUGCGGCGGAAACUCUUUGUAGGUCCUCACUAAACAAGGAAACCUGAACGUGUGUAACGUUGCUGCUUAUUAUUAGCAAAAAAUAUUUCUGUGGUCUUAAGUAAAAAUUUUAAGUAAUAAAAGGUGUGUUUAGUUCAGGUCCUCACAAUGAUAGAAAAACAUGACAAAGUGUGUUACUUUGAUGUUUAUUAUUAGUACCUUUUUAGAGGUUAGGGUCAGCAAUUUGUUUACAAGUAGCAUAGCAUGACACAUAGGCUACGUCCGUGUUAAUCCGGACAGAUCUGGAAACUGCAUUUUUGUUUUAAAGCAACAUUUUUCCCUCUGUGGAAAAAUACCAAAAAAAUCAACAGCCGAAUGCGUCACAUGACCGCGUCACGUGAAUAGCUACGUUUUCUCAGUUCACGCUACAAAGCGAAAACGCUGCUUUCGGGGAAAAAAAAAAAAAAAAAAGCGCUCCAUUUUCGCUGGACGGAAAAACGCCGUCUCGGUGCGGACGUAGAGGAAAAGAUGCGUUUUCGAUUUGAUCCAGAUUAACGCCAAAGCCGAUCGAAAAGAUUUUAUGUAACCUAUAUGACGCAAUAUAUAAGUACAACAAGUGUGUUUUUCUUUCAUUCUUUUCAGCUCCCCAUAAACACAACGAUAGACAAACCUGAAAAAGCGUGACUUUUUUUUUUACAAUCUUUAUUAGAAGAAAAUGUUGUUUAUUCCAACAAAAUUUAGAUUAGGUUUAGUCCUUGUUUUACACUGAGAAAGGUUUAAGCUAAUACAAAUGUGUUUAUCAUUUGUUCGGGUUCCCACAGUGAUUGAAAAACCUGAAAAGGUGUGUUUUUUGAUUGAAAAACAUUUGUUUCUCCUUUUUUCCAUAAGUUAACGUUUGCCGUACAUGUCGCAGCACGUGAUUUAGGUAGAGCGACAUCAUAUACGCUGGGAGACCUCGCGGUGAUUGAAAGUAAUACUAAAGUAAUGUGUGUGCUCUCUUCAGGUCCCCACGAUGCCUGAAAACGUCUGAAUGAAAAAGUGUGGCUUUCUUUACCAUUGUAAGUAAAAUUCAUUUAUUUUAAUUCAUAUAAACUUUAUUUUGUUGGUCCUUUCAGCGAUUGGGAUCAGGGUUAGCGAUGCUUUACGCGGAGGUUAGCGUCAUGUGAUCUAGCGGGAGGAAUACGUAAAGUUGUAAAGUAACACGAAUGUGUUUGUUCUCUUCGGGUCCCCUCUUCAGCAUUAGGUCCUCACUAGGAAAAAAGUCUUUUGUGUACAUAAAGGUAGUAAUAAUUCAAGUGUAAGCGUGUGUGUGUGUGUGUGUGUGUGUGUGUGUGUGUGUGUAAAAAAGUUGAACUCAAGGACACAAACCAUGUGCAGGUGUUUUUUAAAUUCUAGCUCCCCAACCCCCCUCCAUAUCCCCGCUCUGACCUGACGUCUGUUUGGAUUUGAAAUGAUAGAGUGUGUGUGUGUGUGUGUGUGUGUGUGUGUGUGUGUGUGUGUGUGUGUGUGUUUCCUCAUAAGCCGUGGUUUUGGACGGUCUGCUGUUUUUAUUUAGGAAAUUCCACGUUAAGGCUAAUAGAAAAUGUGCCAUUUAUGUCUUUAAAUCCCUCAGUGUGUGUGUGUGUCUGUGUGUGUGUGUGUGUGUGUGUGUGUGUGUGUGUGUGUGUGUGUGUGUGUGUGUAUUUUCCUCUCAGUCAUACAGCAGUAAAGUGAUAAUAGAAAAUGUGUGUAUGCACUGUGAUUUUCCAAAGCCACUGAGUCUUUUUUUUUUUUCUGUGUGGAUGGAGAGUUCAAACUGAGAAGCCUGAAAUCACACACACACACACACACACACACACACACACACACACACACACACAUCCCUGGGUUGAGGUUAAAUCAUUUGUUCGGCUAAUUUCGAACACCAUCAUGCCUCACCACUAAAACUAGCUAGCUUGCUAGCAACACAAUACAAUAUCUAAUACAAUAUCUAACUUCGACUAGCUUACUAGCUAACUUCGCUAUGCGCACUGCUAUGUUUCGGUAGCUGGCUAGCUUAGCCUAGCGCUGCUGAUCGAUUAUUUUGUAUAAUUAAAUCAGUAGCUCGUGCUAAGCGAAAAAAUUUGUUCUUAAGAUUUUUUUUUUUUAAUGUCACAUGAUCGAAUUUGCGAUUAGCUGAACAAAUUAGUGUUAGCCUGCAAAAAAAAAAAAAACAGGCUUGGUGUAAACACAGAAGUAUACUGAGGGGUUAAACUGCAAAAUUUUAACACACACACACACACACACAUGCGCGCGCGGUGUGUCUGAUUACGGUCUGAAUCGAGUUUGCAGUUUAUUCAAUAAAAGUAAUUGGAUCUGAGACAUUAGAGUUCAUUUCACUAGCUAUGUUGCUUCAUUGCUGUUAGCAUGGACACUGUGUGUGUGUGUGUGUGUGUGUGUGUGUGUGUGUGUGUGUGUGUGUGUGUGUGUAGCUGGCUUACUUGUCCAGUCCUACGUGGCAGUGCUGUGGCAGUCACACUCUUCAUUUUAAUGUCAUUAAGUCUGAACUUGAAGUCUCCACACACACACACACACACACACACACACACACGUACACACUCUCUCUCUCUCUCUCUCUCUCUCUCUGUAUUUCCAUAGCUAACCUUAAGAAAAACAGAUCAUCUUUGGAACACUCUUUAACCGCCGCCAUAUUAUAUACUUGACGUUUGUUUAUCCACCCGCUGCUCGCUAGCUAACAUUUAGCUAACCCGAACUAGCGACAGAUAUUUUUCUGCUGAGCUACGCCGCUAGCUUCCAAGCUAGAAAGUCAGCUGCAUAAUCUAUCUACGUCGCAAUAUGCUCACGAGUGAGUUUUUACCACAGAAUCACACUAUUUCUGUUAGCUACGACACAAACAGCUCAGGUUUCCUCAUUUCCUCAGUGCAGGCUAGUUUUUUCCGCCGUGUUUAUCUGAAUCUUCUGUGAGCAAAACUCAUCUAAAAUUCAUCUACAAAAAGAAGAAGAAGAAGAAGAGGAAGAAGAAGAAAAUGCCUGGGGCACUUCACUCUGAUUGGAGCGCAAGUCAAUUCAUUUCAGCUCAAUAGAGCUUUAUUAGCAUGAAUGGUGCAUCGCUGCUAAUUAGCACUUAGCAUAAAUACAAUAAUAAACAGACGCUAAUCAUAGUCAGAAGCAAAGACAGAUUGAAAAACGUUACUCAUGAGCUCCCCAGUCUCCGAGCAGGCGUAUUGUAUUGUCAUUAAGUCUGCGGGUCUUGAGUGUGUGUGUGUGUGUGUGUGUGUGUGUGUGUGUGUGUGUGUGGUAAUUUAAUCUACACGGGCUGAAUCAUCAGCCAAGAGAGGGGGAGAGCAAGAAACACUGGCUUUCUACUGAUGCAUGUAUGUGAGCACCUGUGUGUGUGUGUGUGUGUGUGUGUGUGUGUGUGUGUGUGUGUGUGUAAAAGAGUGAGUGAGAGAGAGAGAGAUUGAGACAAUUGAAAUGAAACAGAGAAAAGAGACUCACAGUGCUCAUCUCUUGAAGUAGAACAUUAACCUGAUUGGAGGACGACCGCUCUCUCUCUGUCUGUCUCUCUUUCUGUCUCACUCUCUCUCUCUCUCUCGCUGUCUUUCUCACUCUCUCUCUGUCUUGCUCUCUCUCUCUCUCUCUCUCUCUUUCUGUCUUGCUCUCUCUUGAUCAACCAGUUUGACCUUCUGAUGUGUGUGUGUGUGUGUGUAUGAGAGAGAGAGAGAGAGAGAGAGAGAGAGAGAGAGAGAGAGACAGCCCCACAAGAAGCCAAGAACCUUUAAUGUCAGAAAACAGAAAAGACCUUCCCAGGCAGAGCAAAUGAGCUAGCAUGAUAACGCUGACAGAAACGCUAAAUAAUUUUAGGGUGGAAAAGACGAAAACAAGAAGAAGAACUUUAAGGUACGUCCUAAUCCUCUAGCAUAACUGUAGUCUAAACCUAAUGCCCUAAUGUUAGUGUAUUUACGGUAGCCCUGCUACUCCAGCGAUUACGGUGGUUUGUCGUCCAUGUAAAACAUAGCUAGCUCGGCACUAACUAGCUAUACACUAGCAGCAAGCGUACAAACAAAAGAAAUAAAUUCAUGAACUACGAGGUGUAGUCAGCCAUUUUGGUAGUCAUUAGCUUCCAAAACCUGGCUUUUAUAAAAAUACAUUUUAAUGCAGCCCCUCCUUCAGCCACGCCCCCAAAACAAUGUAAAACGCCUAAACGUUAGCAUAAAUGGCCGAAAUUUCUUAACUGGUCAGGCUUCAAUGUUCCUAUAUCAUCCUCGAGCACCUCCGGUGAGGUUGUCAUGACGUUCCUCGCAAAGUGUUCCCGCUUAGAUUGGAUUCACACGUAUGAUCGGACGUACGAUUUCCGUUCCGAUCUAGCCGUGAACAAAAUCGCACAGCGUCGCGAGUCGAGAUCGACGAUCUUCCGGUGCAAUGCGGUAGAAGUGAUGGCUAAACGUGAAAGAAAUAUGCUCGCGUCGGGGGGGAAAAUUGUGUUCACGCUGGCCUGUUUUAUUUAUUUUUUGAUUGUUUGUUUUUUUUUGCACGAGUACGGAUCACGCCGUUUGUCGACGUUAGCAGAACGCAGUAAUUCGACACGCGGGUUAAAAAACAAACAAACAUAUAGUAGCCACGUUUUACUAAUUCGCUAUAUUGUGUUAGGUUAAUCGUAGCCACGCUUUACUAAUUCAUCCCCUUUAAUGAGUUCGAGGUUAAUGAAUUCGAGGGAACGAAUGAAUCAAACGUGGCCACGAUUGACCGAAUGAAUAAAACAUGCCCACGUGUUAUUAAUUAAUGAAGUCAUGCGCACGGAUUCUUCAUCCGUGGCGACGAUAAUAUUGUUUCACCCAGAAAACUUGCCCGAUUUGAAGUUCUUGCUAGCUUGGAAUUUCUUGAGCCACAAAACAUCAUUUGUUUUCUUAAAGCAUCCGGCGUUAAUAUAUAUACACCGCACCUUUAAACCUAAUUUAAACGCUACAUAGUGACAGCAUGAGACGGAGGCGAAGCGAGACGAUUCGAGAGGAGAGAAACGACUAAAAGAAAAAGCGAGUGUUUUUUUUUUUUUUUGGCGGCGGAGACGAGAACAGAUGGAAAGAGACGACGAGGAAAGAGGAGAGGAGGAGCGGCGUGCCGAAGUCGGGCAAAGAUUACAGACGCUCAAGGAAACUCUGGAGGAGAAGGAAGGAUUUCUGUCAGGAAUUGGUUUCCUUAGAGGACGAGUAGGAGACAGCAGGAGGCCUGUGUUCCAAUUGGAAGGUGGCUCCCUAGGUGGUAGGCAGCAAUAUUAGGCAACGUUCCUGCGAGAGAAAGUUUCCUUGAAAGUUGAGCGCAAAAUGGCGGACAAAACGGGCUCAUACAUGAGUCGCUAUUUGUGUCUGAAGUUUGUUCUGAAGUUCUUCCGUGGUUAGGAUUAGCUGUCGGAAUGUAGCUAGUUUAGCACUUUACCGUGCUAGCUGAACGCUAGACCUAGCUCGCUAGCUAUGUCGUUUGGCGAACAGCAGUCUAGAUGAACGACAGCCGUCGCUAUAGUAACGCCGGUUUAAUCCUGAGGUCACGGAUAUAGGACUGUCGUUUCGUCUUUAAAACUAUCAUCGAAACAUUUGCUAAAACAAGCUAACUGACAUCACGCUAGCUAGCGAGGCAACACAAGGAGUACGUUAGCCGAACAUGAACGACCUAGCUAGCCAAGCGUACGUCGCUUGAGAGAUAGACAGACGUUAUCUGAUGUUGUCGUAGAUUAAAGUAAAAUAGGACGUGAAUGUGUGCGCGCAGAGUUCUUCUUUAGUCCUUUUUGAAGGAGCUCUAACGGAGUGAGAGCGAAAAAAAAGAAGAAAGAUGGAGAGAUAAUAGAGAGAGAGGGGGAUGAAGUGAUGAAAUCAGCGUUAAGCGAUUGCGUGUGUGUGGAGAUAAAAUUAAAGUAGAAUUGUGUGCCUCAGAUUGUCUCCGAUAACGAUGUGAGGAAAACAAGUCACUACCACCUCCUCACUAUACACACACGCGCACACACACGCACACACGCGCACACACACGCACACACGCACAAGAAAAAAGGUUCCCUGUCUUCUCCCAGCUCUGAAAAAUAACCGCAGGCAAUUUCUCUGUCGUUUUCUUUCUUUCUUCCUGUCUGUCUGUCUCACUCUCUGCCUCACUCUCUAUCUGUCUGACUCUCUCUCAUGCCUUGUCUGCCUGGUUUUCUGUCUCUGUGUCACUCUUCAUCUGUCUCACUCUUUAUCACAAUUUUUGUCUCACUCUCCAUCUCACUGUUUUUUCUAUCUGUCUCACUCUUUGUCUGUCUCGCUCCUUUUCGUCUCACUCUUUUCUCUAUCACUCUUCGUCUUACACUGUGUCUGAAUCACUCCAUCACAGUCUUUUUUUUUGUCUCACUCUGUCUCACUGUCUUCUGUAUCACUCUUUUGUCUUACUCUUUGUCUGUCUUACUCUCCGUCUCACUCUUUUUUUGUCCCACUCUUUUUCUGUAUCACUCUUUGUCUCUCACCCUCUGUCUCACUAUCCAACUCACCCUUUUUCUGCCUCAGUCUUUGGCUGUCUCACUCUCUAUAUGCUCUUUGUCUCAGUCUCGGUCUCACCCUGUGUCUGUCUCACACGCUUCCCUUCUCACCGUGUCUGUCACACGCUUUUUCUUUCUCACUCAGUCUCACUCUUCUUCUCCCUGUCUAUCCAACACUGUCUGUCUCUCUCUCUUCCUGUCUCACUCCUCUUUCUGUGUUUGUAUUUGUGUGGGAAGGAACAAACACCGAUAUCAGCCUCCAGUCGCUCUCCGUGUUUCUCUGUGUAACCUAUAAACUAUACCGUACAUUGUGUAGACGCUUAUACAGCAUAAUAAUGAUAUCCUUCUCCAAACCCAACACACACACACACACACACACACACACACACACACACACUUCCGAUGGAUGUUAUUUAAACCUGAUCUGCCCUUUUAUUGCCAUCUAAUCCUCCCUCUGCAUCUCACUCCAUAUCCGCUAUUGAUCUCCCAUACCUUCUGGUAAAUGUCUCUCUCUCUCUGUCUCUCUCUCUCUCUGUCUGUCUCUCUCU
ensembl:lncRNA